UUCACCAAAAAAUUUGUUUCAUAAGCUUCUCAACAAUAAAUCAGCCGCCAUGUUCAUAUUUCUUGGAAAGAAAUUUACUACAAGAUUAAAAAUAAGUACAUCCUUUAGCAGGAUCAAUUCUUGUUUCAUUAGUGAUUAAAUUACAUAGUUAACCUACAGUUCAAACAAACUAUGAUGGCAAUCAACAAUUCUUUCAAUGUUGACUGAUAAUAGCACAAAACAUAGCCAACCUGAAAACAUACAACAUGAUUCUUUUUUUUCUUCUUUUACUAUAUUUGAGUCUAUCACCUACGUGUGAGAACUACUCUCUUGCACAUUAAUAAACUAUUUCAGCGCGACCAAAAAAAAUAUAUAUAUCACCUCCAGAUGUGCACAAAAAAAGAAUCAUUGAACAACUGUAAUUAGAUGUUGCAAGCUUUGUUCACCUUAUGACUUCUUUAAGGACCCCAAGAAACGAAAAAUCGAGACAGAUUGUCUCCUGUUUUUUAAAGGUUCACUGGAACAUCUCAUCCAAUUUUUGCCUAUAAAGAGCUAGACUCUGCAUUGAAAAAAAAUGUACGCAGAUGAGAUAUUGCUAUAUAUCUUUGAUUUAUGAACAAUGAACAGGAGAAAUGAUAGAUGGCCAAAGAAGUGAAAAUUGAACUAUUAUCAAACAAUAUUCAGCACGUACUGGAGUGCAAGCAUCUUGUGUGUAUCAAUAAAGGAGGAAGCUUGAAACCAGUAUUACAACUUGCAAGUUACAUCACAUGAAACAACAAAGUACACAAGAAAAAGAAGAAAUUCAUGAUAUUUAAAAAAAUGGCAGAGAAUACUAUUUGUAUCAACUUUGUUAACCAAUUCAAACUAUCCUAUCUAGCAUGGCACACUAUUUUAUUUGCUAUUAUUCCCUAUAUUUUUAAACCUCAGCACAGAGUGCAUUAUAUACCAAUAUUUUUGGACACAUCAGUUGAAG
rnacentral:misc_RNA from 1 species